UAGUUCGCGAGUAUAUCGAUUUUACGAUCGUGUCUCUCGCCGCUAGUGCGCCCGUUUCCUUUAGUUUUUAGUGGUCGUGCUCGUCGUCGUACAUGGAUAAAAUCGUGAAUGGGAUUAGUUGCUAGUUGUUUCACUUUAUUCAUCCGCUGACUCGCAAUUGUUCACCAGCCUCGCCAUGACCAAGGAUAGAUUAGCAGCUCUGGUCGCGGCCCAGUCGGACGACGAUGACGUGGCGGACGAUGUGUCCGUCAACGUUGGCGGGCAGGAUGAUUUUAUGACAGAAUUCUUCGCGGAGGUGGAGGAGAUCCGCGAAAUGAUAGACAGAAUCCAAACGAACGUGGAAGAUGUGAAGAAAAAACACAGUGCCAUCCUGUCGGCGCCACAGACCGAUGAAAAGGUCAAAAUGGAAUUGGAAGACCUGAUGUCGGACAUCAAGAAGACGGCCAACAAAGUCAGGGCCAAGUUAAAGGUGAUAGAGCAGAAUAUCGAGCAGGAGGAACACACGAACAAAUCGUCGGCGGAUCUGAGGAUACGCAAGACACAGCACUCGACGCUGUCCAGGAAGUUCGUCGAAGUGAUGACGGAAUACAAUCGAACGCAGACCGAUUACAGAGAGCGAUGCAAGGGAAGGAUACAGCGACAGCUGGAAAUCACGGGAAGAACGACCACCAACGAGGAACUCGAGGAAAUGUUGGAACAGGGAAACUCGGCGGUCUUCACGCAAGGAAUUAUCAUGGAAACGCAACAAGCGAAACAGACUCUCGCGGACAUCGAGGCUCGCCACGCCGACAUUAUCAAAUUAGAAAAUUCGAUCAGAGAGCUUCACGAUAUGUUCAUGGACAUGGCCAUGCUGGUAGAAAGUCAGGGCGAGAUGAUAGAUCGUAUAGAGUACCACGUCGAACACGCGGUGGACUACGUGCAGACAGCUACGCAGGACACCAAGAAAGCGCUCAAGUACCAAAGCAAAGCCCGACGGAAAUUGAUGUUCAUCAUAAUUUGCCUGACGGUAGCGUUCGUCGUUCUCGCAAUUAUUCUGGCGAUCGCGUUGUAAAGAAGAUCCCGAGCAACGUGACGAACAAUUUUUUUCGGAGUGAGAAACGCGCGCGAGGCCAGUCGCGCGAAUGGAUCGGCGAAUGAGAGAGCACGGUUUUUCGUUCCGGCCAGAGUUUCGGUUACCGUGAUCAGAACCGAACAACAGAACCGACCCCACUCGAUCGGAACAAAAAGACGAUUAUGUAUGUACCGCGUGUACCGUUUGAUUUUUUUUUUUUUUUUUUUCGGCAACUCGCAUCGACCGUGUUCGGUUUCCUGGUUGUCCGUUUUAGAUUAUUACAUGUUCCGUGAUUUCGGACACACGAGCGUCCUGGUGCAAUAGGAUAACGCGACGCCGUAAUUCGUGUAUUUCGGGACACGUGACAACCGAAACGAGGAGUUCGCGAGAACGUUCGAUUCUCGACGUAUUACGACGUGUCACGAGGUGUUACAACGCGUCACGACGCGUUGUGGUCGCGAUCGGUCACGAUUUAGGCGGCCACGCAUUUUCUGUAAAUAAUUGCAUUUGUAAUAGAGAACAGAUGUAUAAUAAUACGUACGAUUACGAGCGGGAAAGUCUGAUUCUUAUCGCGCUAAGGGAGACACGCACGAGCGUUCUUCUAGAUUUUCACGAUCGAGACGAUAGCGUAAGGGGACAGAGUUUGGGCAGAGGCGCGCGCGCACAGAGAGGCACGAGUUGCGAUUUAAAAUGGACUCCCGCGUCGCGGCUAACGGCGGAACAAUGCCGUGUUCGCUGCACAUGGACCUACGCAUACAGAGGAGAGGAGAGGAUCGGGAAGGAUUCCCAAUCUAGGAACAUAUCGUUUACCCGCGUACUCGCCUGUAAUCGAUAAUUAUGUUUUUGCCGAGCGCAGAAGAAGAUCAUGAUCAUGAUAUGCGUCACCAUACUCGUCAUCGUUCUGGCCACCACCGUCGGUGGAUACUUUGGACUGUGAACGCCGCAAUCAGAGCAGUCCAAAGAGGUCGCCGUCGUGUACGCGAAUACGAACCAACGGCAGCAUCAUAACGCAGGUAAAACGAGCGGAAACGCAGGGCAGUUCUACGCCGUGUCGAAGUCGAGCGAUCAGAGCGAUCCGAGCGAUAUCAGAGCGGUCGGCAGCGUGCUCGACCGUCCCGUCGCGGCAACCAGUAACCGGCUCGGCCGUGAUCUCGUACUUGGUCCCAUCGACGUACGCCGCUUCUCGUUCCGCCCUCGAUCGUCGUCGUCGGGUUUGUCCUCCUGUCGCGCGUGCACGCGUUCCGGCGUCCAGACCACGCUGGAACAACGAGGACAAGCGGACUGCUCGGAGGACGAUGCAACACCGUCACUGCUGUCGUCGCCAUCUUCAUCAUCAUCGUUGCUGUCACCGUCAUCA